ensembl:lncRNA
GUAGGGGCCUGAGGGCACACAGUGUGUUGUAGAUAUGUGGUAGUGGUGGGAGUAGGGGCCUGAGGGCACACAGUGUGUUGUAGAUAUGUGGUAGUGGUGGGAGUAGGGGCCUGAGGGCACACAGUGUGUUGUAGAUAUGUGGUAGUGGUGGAGUAGGGGCCUGAGGGCACACAGUGUGUUGUAGACAUGUGGUAGUGGUGGAGUAGGGGCCUGAGGGCACACAGUGUGUUGUAGAUAUGUGGUAGUGGUGGAGUAGGGGCCUGAGGGCACACAGUGUGUUGUAGAUAUGAGGUAGUGGUGGACUAGGGGCCUGAGGGCACACAGUGUGUUGUAGAUAUGAGGUAGUGGUGGAGUAGGGGCCUGAGGGCACACAGUGUGUUGUAGAUAUGUGGUAGUGGUAGAGUAUGGGCCUGAGGGCACACAGUGUGUUGUAGAUAUGUGGUAGUGGUGGAGUAGGGGCCUGAGGGCACACAGUGUGUUGUAGAUAUGUGGUUGUGGUGGAGUAGGGGCCUGAGGGCACACAGUGUGUUGUAGAUAUGUGGUAGUGGUGGGAGUAGGGGCCUGAGGGCACACAGUGUGUUGUAGCUAUGUGGUUGUGGUGGGGUAGGGGCCUGAGGGCACACAGUGUGUUGUAGAUAUGUGGUAGUGGUGGAGUAGGGGCCUGAGGGCACACAGUGUGUUGUAGAUAUGUGGUUGUGGUGG